GGAAGCGUUCUAAAAAAGUUCGUGGUGCUGGAGCUGGCUAUCUGAAGGCGGGGCCUACACUGGCCUGGGGCGGGGCUCAGAAGGCGGUCCUUGACCAGAACUGGGGGCGGAGUCUGGAGGUCAGAGAACAAUCCCUAUAUAUAUGGGAUUUAUCGAAAUGACUUACAGGCUUCAGUCCGGCUAAUCCAACAAUGGCUGGCUGUGAAACAAAAGCCCAGGAUUACAAUAGCUGCUCAGUCCACAAGGCUCGGUGUCUCAGCUGGUCUUCAGUGUGUGCUGGAAUCCUAAGAAGUAGGCUCCAAUGCCAGUGAAGGAAUGGAUGUGCUAGCAAGGUGAGGGCAAGCAGGCAACAAGCAAAACCUUCCUUCUUCUAUGUUCUUAUACAGACUUCCAGUAGAAGGUGUGGCCCGGGUUAAAGUUGUAUCUUCCCACUCAAGAUCCAAAUCAAAGGCAUGUGUCUUCCUACCUAAAGGGUCUGGACUAAAAGUGGAUUCACUCACUUCAAACCAAGCAAAAAGUCUUUCACAGUGUGCACAGUACCUCCCAGCACUAUGAAAGCUAACUAGUGGGGAUGAAGCUUCCAGGCCCCACACAUCUGCCAGUGUCAGGAACAACAAUCUCAUCAGGAACUGGAGGAACAUUCUGGAGAAACCACAGUCUACCUGAAGCUUUAGUUCCAUCCUCACACCUGCAUCCAAUCAAGAAGUGCAGUGAGCAUCCUUGUUUGUGAUUAUUUGCACAGAGGUGGUUGGCGAGUGGGCAGGUUAGACUUCUGGAUGUGUGAUUGUCUUCUUGUGCACUUUGUGUCCAGGGGGAUUUUCAUGGAGCUUUCUCUAGCGGGGGAAGAUCCCUCCUGCUCAUCCUCAGGCCAAUGGCCGCUUACAUUUUCAGGAGAAACAAGGCUGUACCAGGCACUUGUGGGCACGUCCUCUCAUCCUUGAUCUUUUAGCAGCAUGAUUCUCUGAGGCUGCAGAAUACAUUAUUCAGGCAUCUUUUUCUGUCAAUUACCAUGGAAUCAGCUGGAACAACAAACAAACCAAUAAAAAGGAAUGGAUAAUCA